UUUGGGGUAACAUAAAGCAGGUAGGGUAUGUUAACAAAUCUGGACCUAUAUUUUAACAAAGUAAAAGUAAAUACUCUAGGCAAAUAUUUACCGUGCCUAGCAGUCAGCAAUAAGAGACAUAAAACACCUUCCAAAGUUCACAUCUUUUUCUUUGUGCAACUGAUCACUUGUUUUCUUCAAACCUAGAUUUGCAGCAGCUUGUGUCUGUGGGAGAGGGGGGAAAAAAGCAAAGAUCAAAUGCUCUUUGGAGUAUUCUAGACCAGACAAUCCCUAAAAUUGGCAUACUUACCAAUUUUGACAUUUCAGGCUUUUGUGGAUGACUUCUUUCUGCUUUCUCCAAUCAAUAUUCUUUUUUGCAGUAACAAGGGAGGUGGUAGAAGCAAAAUGGCACAACUGCACCAAUGAAUGCAACAAAGGAAACUGCCCCCUUUUUUUUUGUUGUUUGAUACUGUAAUUCUUCACAACAGACUUCCUUUCUGCUUUGGGUACUUUGCACACCUGUAGAACAACAUCUGCUUUAAAAAUUCUUCAAUGCCACAGUGUGGAAUGUGGAGCCGCUCCCUUUGCUGGUGAUUAGAGAAAUGGCACCGAAGAUGAGUGGCAGGUGUCGUGUGACCACAGAAUCACAGAAUGGUUGGGGUUGGAAGGGACCUCUGGAGAUCACCUAGUCCAGCCCCUGCUAAAGCAGGUUCUCCCAGAGCAGGAUGCACAGAGUCACGUCCAGGAUCUAAGCACCACCUGCAGGAGCUGUUAGAUGAAAUCCUCGGACUUUGCUAUCGUUACUCCAGGAUGAUUCAUGUUGCUUUCUAAAUGCGUGUGUCUGGAUGCCUGUUGUGGAGAGCUCAGCAGCUACAUCACCCCGAGAAGCCCAUGCUGGCUGAGGCAUGGUGAUGCUUAACCUUUACUCCUCUCUCUCAGGGAAAAGGUCAUUGCUAUGAGCUCAUGACCAAGCAAUGUUCUGCAACAUUGGAUUAUCCUGCUUUGUACCUCUGCCAACCUUCUUCUCACUGUCUUCUCCUUUCCUGGUCACUAACGUUUCUUUUACCUUCUGACCUGUUGUCCUUCAAAAAAGAUUUUGCAGCAUUAACAGUCAUACAGCAAGGCAGCACAGGUAUAUCAACAGAACCCUUAUUCUUGGCCACUACUUCUUCAUUUGAAUUAUGUAUCCAGAAGUCAUGGGCCAGACUUCCCAUUGCUGCACCUGAAAUGGCUCCAGUAUAUUUUACUGACUUUUCAUUAAGUAAACUGAACGGAUGGUCUUCAAAACUCAGGGCUUAAAUCCCAAGCCUUGCCUACAAGUCACUCUGACAGAAAGUUGGCCUAGACUCAAUUCAUCUAAUAGGCUUUAGUCAUAUCUUUUAUUAAUAAAACAUACAGUUAUUUUUUUGUUUUUCUUUUUAAACCUGCAGGCGAAAAUAAUUUCAGAUAGAAUGUGUUUCAUUUCUAAUGACUGAAUGGCAGGUGACUUCCAGAAAAUAAAAAAUAAAAA